rnacentral:rRNA from 1 species
CGCAUCUGUGCAUGCAGCAUAUCAAUAAGCGGAGGAAAAGAAACUAACAAGGAUUCCCUUAGUAACGGCGAGUGAAGCGGGAAGAGCUCAAAUUUGAAAUCUUCAAGGUUUUACCUUGACGAAUUGUAGUUUAAAGAAGUGUUUUCUGUUGAAGUUUUGGUAAAAGUUCUUUGGAAUAGGACAUCAUAGAGGGUGAGAAUCCCGUAUUUGACCAUUAUUUUCAGCUGUGUGAUACACUUUCAAAGGGUCGGAUUGUUUGGGAAUGCAGUCCAAAAUGGGUGGUAAAUUUCAUCUAAAGCUAAAUAUUGGCGAGGAGACCGAUAGCGAACAAGUACCGUGAGGGAAAGAUGAAAAGAACUUUGAAAAGAGAGUUAAACAGUACGUGAAAUUGUCAAAAGGGAAGCGUUUGACACCAGUGUUGUUUUCUCGAAAAUCAAUUAAAAAGAGUUAGAUUUUGUUGUGUAUUGACCUUAACAGCUUGCAUUUCAAUUUUCUUGCUUUUUUUAAUGCACUUUUCGUUUAACAAGUCAACAUCAGUUUCUUUUGUUUGUAAAAAGGUCAUUGGAAGGUGGCUUUCUUUUCGGAGAAAGUGUUUAUAGCCUUUGACUCCUGCAAUCGGAGAGACUGAGGUCUGCAGCGUAGAUCCUUCGGGGUUAGAUACAUUUGUGCUAAGUUAUAGCUUUUUAUAGACAACUUGUUGACUAUGAUUAGUCUUGUAGCUUACUCGCUUAUGCUAUUUUACCUACGCUUAGGAUGUUGACACACGCGCGUGCUCG